rnacentral:rRNA from 1 species
AUGGAAGAAAGCGAUGAAGUAGACUUAAUCGGAAGGUAUAAUGUUGGGUUUGGACAACACGUUCGUUGGAAGACAAUACCUCUUGUCUCCGACUUCCAUUGGGAAGCAUAUAAGGAGAGUGUCUUGGCCUCACAAGAUAAAGCAUUCGAGUUAUUUGCCACAAAGAAGGUUGGUGCUCAGUUGCACAUUGAUUUGAAUCGGUGUGCAUCUUCAUGUGAUGUUAGAAGCUCGGUUCGAGAUCCACCAUAUGUCAAUCCAGAUGUGUAUGACACAACAAUGAGCCAACCUCCAUUGACCCAACCUUUGUGCCCCGUCCGGAAUGACCAACAUGAUAAUCAAGGCUUGCAUAUGGAGGGUGAUGGGUUUGAAGGUGAAAGCACAUUUGCUCCUUUGGUGAUUUUAGUAAUUCAUGUCAACAUACAUGUUGUUGGACUAAUAUUUUCCUCAAGUACAUUUCAGGCUCUAAGGAACAAUGGUGGCAAAGCUUCAAGACUCUACAUUUAUUGUUAA